UUCACGUAGGCUGGGCUGGCUAAGGUUUGGAUUUAAACAAAAGAUGUCUUCACAAUGUCAGCAGAAUGCUUUAUGGGAAUGCUGUGGUUUUCUGGUACGAUAUCAUGUGACCCCCUCGGCCAAGGUUUUGUUAUGGUGCCAGGAGGGAGAGAGAGAGGGAGUUCAGGGGGAAACUUGGAAUGCGAUGCCAGCAAAGGGUUUUUAUUUUUUCCUUUUUUUGGCUUUCAUUCUUGUGUUUGCUGAGAAAAUGGCGGACGGUGCAGGGCUGAAAUGAGACCAACUUGCCAAUGGAGCUCAAACACACAGCUCGACUUUAUAUUAUCAGCCAUGGACGCUUUUUUGCAUUACACCCAUGUCUCAUCUAUUUUUGAUUCCUGGUAAAGCGCGAUUCCUGUCUGUCUGUCUCCGGCUGGGUACAAAAGAGAGGUCAGAACAAUCCAAACCAAAUAGAGAUGAGAAAUGUUAAAUCGUUUGUAGAGAUCUGGGAAAUGGCACCGGUGCUGGCACACUCACACUGUUCUGUUCCAUACCUGGCUUUGUCGCACUGCGGCCAUGCAGCCACUGCCGGGAAUAUUCUAAUGUGUUGGAAAACUCUGUAGCUGGCACUGUUACCGCUAGCUGACCGUGGCAAGCUCCAUUACACUGGCAUUCUGUUUGCCAUGGCAUCUUCUUCACCCCGGCAGAUUUACUCAGCUCCCAGCCAUGAUUUUCAAUAUUGAAGUUUGGCUAACCCAUCCUCUCCUCUAGUCACAUCCUGUGAGUCAGUGCUGCGUGUUGACCAGGAGGACAGGAGGACUGCCUGGCUCAUCUGACUGGGCGCUAGACUACAAGAGAAUAAAAAAUAUCCUCCAUAAUAUUAUUAUUUUCACUGAGAAAAUGGACUUCCCUUCAAAUGUCCUAUCAAGGGGGAAAUGCUGAAAUAGAGGAGAAUGAGAAGUGACCAUGGGCAACGCCAUACCCGGACAGGCACAUAAUCAACAGGGAAGCGUGGCGUGGCCCCCUCUUUCUCUCUGUCUGGACACUCCCAGGUAAGACCCAAUAACAGCCACUGGAACACUAAGAUACUAAGAUGAAAUAUUACACUAUAUGCCCCAUUAACAUCUUAACUAGAACCUCAGUCUCUGCAGUAUCUGGUACCUUUGGAGGCAUUUCACUGUGUUUUCAUUAAAGUGGGCACAUUGGCUCAACACGAGUCGGUAGAAAUGUCAGCUAUGUUGGCCACUGCUCUGCCAGACAGACAGACGUGAGUUGGGUAAUCAGCCAUAGUUGUUUUGCGACCUGCUUCUAGCAUUGCUUUUCUCUACAGAUAGAUGCCCACUGUGGACAGUGAGACACAAGACAAUAUUUUAGUCAGCUUCAUCCCACUGCAGUCAUUUAAAACCAUGAUGUCCUGCCUCUUUUUCUUUUGUUUGUCUCUUUUUUCUGUCUACCUCAAUUUCCCUCUCAUUCUGUCAUUAACUCUCAGCUUCCUUUUCCCUCGCACCCUCUGUCUCUCACUCUCUUUGACACUCUGUUACUGUCUCUCUUUUCCGUUCUCCCUUUUCCUCUCACCCUCUCAUUGGUAUGCAGUGGCUGUUCCCCAGGCGACCGGGCCACUGGGUUCGGGCUAAACUGACUGCAGGAGGAGCGUCAGCUCCGUAGUAGAGAGGACAGCAGGACAGCAGGUAAGGGUAAUGAGAACAGGCAGAGAAAGGAGGAGGCGGACAAGAGAAAGGAGGAGCGCAAGCUAGUUGUCCCAAAGGGGCUUUGGGGGUGAGGGACCAUACACUGUCCAGACAGACACACACACACACACACACACACACAUACACACACACACACAUUCAAGAUUAAACACAUGAGCAGAUACAUUCAGUUAAAGUGCAUUUAUGUAUCCAAAAAAGCUACAUAUCAUUUCUCACAAACACACAAUGUGAAUUUGUGAAAUGUUUAGCUCAUUUGUUUGCUUUGCAAGAUACUUUUUUGUUU